rnacentral:rRNA from 1 species
AUUAUACCGUGAAACUGCGAAUGGCUCAUUAAAUCAGUUAUCGUUUAUUUGAUAGUACCUUACUACUUGGAUACCUGUGGUAAUUCUAGAGCUAAUACAUGCUAAAAACCCCGACUUCGGAAGGGGUGUAUUUAUUAGAUAAAAAACCAAUGCCCUUCGGGGCUCCUUGGUGAUUCAUAAUAACUUCUCAGAUCGCAUGGCCUUGCGCCGGCGACGGUUCAUUCAAAUUUCUGCCCUAUCAACUUUCGAUGGUAAGGUAUUGGCUUACCAUGGUGGCAACGGGUAACGGGGAAUUAGGGUUCGAUUCCGGAGAGUUAGCCUGAGAAACGGCUAACACAUCCAAGGAAGGCAGCAGGCGCGCAAAUUACCCAAUCCCGACACGGGGAGGUAGUGACAAUAAAUACUGAUACAGGGCUCUUUUGGGUCUUGUAAUUGGAAUGAGUACAAUUUAAACCUCUUAACGAGGAACAAUUGGAGGGCAAGUCUGGUGCCAGCAGCCGCGGUAAUUCCAGCUCCAAUAGCGUAUAUUAAAGUUGUUGCAGUUAAAAAGCUCGUAGUUGAACCUUUGGCCUGGCUGGCAGGUCCGCCUCACCGCGUGCACUUGUCCGGCCGGGCCUUUUCUUCUGGAGAACCGCAUGCCCUUCACUGGGUGUGUUGGGGACCAGGACUUUUACUUUGAAAAAAUUAGAGUGUUCAAAGCAGGCCUUUGCUCGAAUAUUACAGCAUGGAAUAAUAGAAUAGGACGUGCGGUUCUAUUUUGUUGGUUUCUAGGACCGCCGUAAUGAUUAAUAGGGACAGUCGGGGGCAUCAGUAUUCAAUUGUCAGAGGUGAAAUUCUUGGAUUUAUUGAAGACUAACUACUGCGAAAGCAUUUGCCAAGGAUGUUUUCAUUAAUCAGUGAACGAAAGUUAGGGGAUCGAAGACGAUCAGAUACCGUCGUAGUCUUAACCAUAAACUAUGCCGACUAGGGAUCGGGCGGUGUUACUAUUUUGACUCGCUCGGCACCUUACGAGAAAUCAAA